rnacentral:rRNA from 1 species
CCUGAAUGUCAAAACGACUCUCGGCAACGGAUAUCUCGGCUCUCGCAUCGAUGAAGAACGUAGCGAAAUGCGAUACUUGGUGUGAAUUGCAGAAUCCCGUGAACCAUCGAGUCUUUGAACGCAAGUUGCGCCCGAAGCCUUCGGGCCGAGGGCACGCCUGCCUGGGCGUCACGCAUCGC